rnacentral:lncRNA from 1 species
CUAACUUAAUAUUAAAUUCAAAAUAGUCUUUAUCUUUACAUAAGUUUUGCAAAAUGGUCAUUGUCGUUAAAUUCUCAAGUGACGUCGUUAGUGAGUGAGGUGCAUUGGUGGCAAUUCAGUGCCACGUAGACUGUCCAACGUGGCACUGAAGUCUGCUUCUUUAAAUCUUCUCUCACGCAAGUUGGCUUCUUCUUCUUCCCCAAAAAAAUUAGGGUUUGUGAAGCUGUUGUUCUCUCACGUUGAGUUGCUUCUUCUUCUUCUUCUCUCACGCUCAGUUGCUUCUCGUUCUUUCAUUUAUAAAGGUUCUACCUUUUGCUUAUUCUUGUUCACUUGAUUUCUCCAUGUCUGCAAGUGGCAGUUGUUGUGCAUUUUCUGGUAGUUUCAUUUGGCAAUGCCACCAUGGAAGACUUGCAGCUAUUCAAACUACAAGAACAAGGAGGAAUCCAAGAAGGUUAUUCUAUACUUGUGCAUUGCCCCAAACAGAUCCAAAUAACUGUCAAUUUUUUCAAUGGGUUAAAGAAGAAAACCAAGUUUCUAAUUCCUCUUCUGUCUCAAGAGAAUCAAGGGCAGUGGCUGAUUUGAACCUACAAAUUGAAGCUUUGCAAAAGAAAAUGAAAAAUUUAACAAACAUUGUGUUGUUAGGUUUUUCAUUUUAAAUUAUAAUGUUAGUUUUAGGGGGAAUGUAUUUUAGGUAAAAUCUGUAAUAACAUCUUUUGAUAUUGUAAUUGUUGUUUUGCUGAAGAAUUUGUAGUAGAAAGAAAUUUGUUGCUACUGUCAGUUACCCAUUUCAAUGAAAUAUAAUUUGCAGUUGAAA